GAGCUCUUUCUGAGAUGAAGAGAACUCUCAAUGUCAAGAUUUCAACAAGAAGAGAAUGGAAUACACGAUACGGACAUCCAUAAAAAUUCUUCAGAGGGUGUUUUACUACUGAGCUGCAAAGGGAAAAACUUAAAAUGGAUAUGAAAAGUGAAGAAAGUGAUCAUAGGAGAAAACCAUUUCAGGUGUCUGAUGAUUUGUGAGCCUCAAGUGACUACUCUGUGGAAUCACCUGUCCUUGCCUUUGAAUUAGCUUUCCGUAGGCCAUGAGUCAACAUUAGUAGUUUAUACAUCCAAAUUGAUGACAAGAGCACCUCAAAGGCAGCAGCCUCAAGAAGCAGCCAUGGCCCCAGAGUUGUCCCACGGAUGCAGAAAACUUAAUGGAGGAGGCUGAGGUCAGAAUGGGAAGAGUUUUUAAAAAGUAAA
rnacentral:lncRNA from 1 species